UCCAACUGUAAUUAGUAUAUAAUGAUCUGUAAAACCCAUGAUUAAUAAAUCAAUUUAAUUACAACUCAACUCUCUCUAAACCCUACUCUCAACGGAUACUAGGGGUUCAGUUAAUACGAAGAACCCUAGAAUCCGCCCCUUUUCUUCCUCUCGUUGUUAAUCAACGAAUUGAAUAUUCAUCCGGGCAAUUCGGCCUCGGAUAAUCACUCGACAGCUCCGGCGAUCACCUCCCGCUGGAUUUAACACCUCAAACAUUCAUGCAUAACUGCAUUUAUUAAAUAACAAACAAACAAACAAAAAAAGAACAGUAGAAUAAAUGAAUAAUGAACCGUGGCAGCAGCCAGUAGAGUUGCAGAGGAGGAACCCACAAUUCACAUCAUUGCAUGAUUUGCAUCUCAGAUCGAUGGAAAAUAAUAUUAUUGGAGGUGGUAAUAUAUAUAUUGCAUGAUUCGAUGGCGAUAUAUCAUAUAUGGAGGUAAUAAUAUUGGAACGGGAAUCACGGAUAUUAUUGUAUUCUUCUUCUAGUGGCUAAUCCAAAAAGAAAGAAAACAGAAACGGCAGGGUUUUGCAUUCCAGGAAUCUGAAAUAUUGAAAGGGGGAAU
rnacentral:lncRNA from 1 species